rnacentral:lncRNA from 1 species
GUGAAUGACUACGACCCAAAUACACCUCAUGACUGUUUUGAACAGAUGAAAAUGGAAACAACACAUCUACCAACUGUGCAUGAAGACCUAUUGGUAGAUCCCGAUCUCACCCUGUUUGUGGACGGCUCAAGAUAUGCUGAUGAAGAAGGAAGAUACCAUACAGGAUAUGCCGUAACCACAACAGAUGAAAUUGUCAAAUCAUCAUCUUUACCAUCAACUAUGUCUGCACAAGAAGCUGAAUUGCAAGCCCUG